GGCGGGUAGGGGCUGCUCCGAGGCGGGAGGGCUGCCGCUGUGCACGAUGAAACAGAGCAUGCAGGGCCCGCGCAGGAAGCAGCUCCGGCUGCGCGGCGGCACCUUUCUCCCGCGGCGGCAGCGGCGGUCCCGGCUGAAGCUACUGGCCUCCUUCGAGAGCAAGUGGCCCAUAUAUGAGGCGGCUGAGACGGAAGGGCCCGCGGGUGUCACCUGCGGGGCGCUGCGGCUGGCGUUGUCAUGCUGCCGGAGGGGCCCGCAAGCGGCGGAGCCGGGACAGGCCGGGACGCUGAGCUGCUGGUUCCGGGACUCGGCACCGGGAGGAAGAAGCUUCCGCUACCGCCGCCCUGACCUCCCCGGGGGUGGUGAAGGGGCGGUGCUCGUUUGCAUGGUGGUGCUGCCGCCAGCGGGCGUGCACAGAGCCGGUGGGGCGCGGGCCUAAAGGGGCCCGCGGCCCCCUGGGUCUCCCAUGUCUCAUUGCUUCCGCUCGCAGCCUCUCCAGGUGUCCAUGCGUUGUUGAACUGCACUGUGUGUGUAAAGACGGUUUUGAAGCCAUUGCUAUUUCAGUGUCAGCUAAGACUUCAUUUCCAAGACAGCAGAAAAGCCCUCUGUCCUUCUCUCAGUUGUGGCUGUGACUGGCAGUGCCAACAUCAAGGCUCUUCCUGAAGAAAAACUGGUUGAGAACACUGGACUGUAAGAAGAAGAAGGGAAGGCUUAUAUUUUCAAUGAACUUCCAGAAAGCUUCCCCUCCUCCCCAGCAAAGCAUGAGACUCACAAUGUCUUUGGUCAGACUAAACUUAACUGAGUAGCAACUGAAAACAUCAGUGUUAUCAGCAACCACAGCACUGCACCAGCUACCAAGAAGCAGAAAAAUGACUACUGCUACUGAACCCAGGACAAAUACAUACCAUAUGAAUUUCCCUGUGCUGGUGAUGAUGGAAGACACGUGCAUUCCAUUCAAGGUGGGUCAACCCUUUAGGAAUAUGCCCUAUAUUACUAAAAUUUGCAACAUGCAGAAAUGUAAAAAGUCAUAACAGCAGCAUUUAUAUUACCCGUCAAGGUAUCUCUCAUCUCUUAGACUUUCUAUAUUUGCCUGUUAGAUAUUUCUUUAGUUUCAGGGAUAUGCAUUUUGCAAAAUGGUGUAUUUGUUUACAGUAGCUGAUGUCAUGGAAGCAAGGUGGUGAAAUUUUGAGAGGUUACUGAGAGAUACAGGUUCUCUGAAAUGUGGUGCUGCAGCUGCUGCUUCCUGAUAAAGGGCCAGUUUGGUUUUCCUGUAGGUUUUUGCCAGCAGUAGUUAACAUGAAUUCUGGCAAAGGCCCCAUUUUCUUUUCAAAGACAGAGACUGCAGGGAUCUGGCACUGCGUGAAAUGUUGCUACAAGACUACCCUUUCAAAAGAUCUUUUAGCCAUGCUUGAUUGUAUUUCUUUAUACAUAUAUAUAUAUCUGCCAAGGUUAUGAGUUUACACGAUAAGCCUGGAAGACAAACAUUAAUUAGGCAGAAUAAUACAGCAGUGUGAGUGAUUUCUUUUCAGCCAUUUUGCUAUUUGGCUGCUUAAAACAGAAACAUUUGUGGGCAGGACAGAGGGAUAAAGAAGAGAAUAUGACAUGAAUUCUGUUCUAAUUUAUAAAUUCAUCAUAAAAUUAUCCUACAAAUUUUGCUUGAAAGUCAUUCUUCAAGCAUCUCUCUUUAUGGAAAGUUAUCAUGAGCUAUCUUACUUCCUAUCAUAGGGUUUAUUGAGACAAAAUCCUCUUUACCUUGCUUUAUUUAUUUCUAUGAAAAAAAGUCAGAGAAUCUUACCUUGGCAGGGGUUAUUCUCAGAAAGCUUUCUCAUCUACUUCUAUACUUGGACAUAUUAUACCUAGAUAGAUUGUAUUCUCUGUCUGUGCUUGCCUUCAGUCUAAUUUUCCUAAAGUCUAAUAUUUCCCCUCUUCUUCCUUAGAGGUAUAUGGGAGAAUGAGGAGGGGCACAGGUAGGAUGUGUUUUGUUUGUUUCCUUGUGCUUGAAGGAACACAUAUGAGUCCUGUUUAAGAGCCAUCCCCCAAAACGCAUCCUGUUUUUUUAAAAAAAAAAAAUCCUCCCAUCUGUUCUAACACUUUAAAUUACUGUGAUUGGUUUUAUUAUAAAUGCUUUCCAAAACCACUCUCCAACUGAGAUUAAAUGAAAUCUGCUGACAAACCUUGAUUAGAAAUAAUGACCCCAGUUAAAAUCAGGAACUGUGGAACAAUGGCUGAUGGAGCGUGGGCAUGUGAAUGAUGAAGAGCUGAGUAAUCCCUGAUUUUGACUUGCACAACCCAGGCUUGAAACUGAGUGAAUGACAGUGAACCAUUGUGGACUGGCUGCAAAGCAGUGAGCAUAUUGUGCCCAAUCCCGAUGUUUUAGCACUAGAAGAUGGCGUUUAUGAUGAGUGCAGGCCACAGUCCUAAGUCAACAAGUGCCUACGUGGAGCUUGACAUGAAUCGAUGAUGAAGAAAGCUGUGGGUAAAGAAGCAAAAGUAGCAGUGCAAGCAAGAUAAGAAGAAACUGGGAUGUGUUAAGACACAACAGUGAACUGUUGGCAAGUUUUGGAGACCAGGCUCUCAUCCCCUUAAUGUAACUAAAUUGUAUCUUUGCUGCUGUGUGCUAUACUGUAUAUGUAUCCGCUAUUACAGCGAGCUAUUGAUUAUGUAUCCAAUCUUAAUGCAGCCCGUUAUUGUGUAUGUAUCAAAGUAUAAUACACUGAGCCAUUGUAAGCAGACACAGAGACUAACGUGGAAAUUCUAGCUUAGCCAAUAGCUAUAUAUAGAUAGGCAGGUGGACAAACAAAUGUAACCACUGAAAGAGUGUUUAGUAGCACAUGGGCUAUCAGGAG